AGGGGCACAGCCAUUCACCAGCUUCUACUGGAAACACUUUUCCAGACAUUCCUUCAGGGCAUUUACAACUAUAAAUUGCCUUCCAAACAGUGGUUUUCCUGAAUCUCCUUAAGUCUGGGAUUUUAUUUAUUUGAGAGAAAGAGAGAGAGCACGAGUGGUUUAAGGGGGCAGAAGGAGA